CUAGUUAGCAAUUAUACCGCGAAACUGCGAAUGGCUCAUUAUAUAAGUUAUCGUUUAUUUGAUAGUACCUUACUACUUGGAUAACCGUGGUAAUUCUAGAGCUAAUACAUGCUAAAAAUCCCGACUUCGGAAGGGAUGUAUUUAUUAGAUUAAAAACCAAUGCCCUUCGGGGCUCCUUGGUGAUUCAUGAUAACUUCUCGAAUCGCAUGGCCUUGUGCCGGCGAUGGUUCAUUCAAAUUUCUUCCCUAUCAACUUUCGAUGUUUGGGUAUUGGCCAAACAUGGUUGCAACGGGUAACGGAGGGUUAGGGCUCGACCCCGGAGAAGGAGCCUGAGAAACGGCUACUACAUCCAAGGAAGGCAGCAGGCGCGCAAAUUACCCAAUCCCGACACGGGGAGGUAGUGACAAUAAAUACUGAUACAGGGCUCUUUUGGGUCUUGUAAUUGGAAUGAGUACAAUUUAAAUCCCUUAACGAGGAACAAUUGGAGGGCAAGUCUGGUGCCAGCAGCCGCGGUAAUUCCAGCUCCAAUAGCGUAUAUUAAAGUUGUUGUGGUUAAAAAGCUCGUAGUUGAACCUUGGGCCUGGCUGGCCGGUCCGCCUCACCGCGUGUACUGGUCCGGCCGGGCCUUUCCCUCUGUGGAACCCCAUGCCCUUCACUGGGUGUGGCGGGGAAACAGGACUUUUACUUUGAAAAAAUUAGAGUGCUCCAGGCAGGCCUAUGCUCGAAUACAUUAGCAUGGAAUAAUAGAAUAGGACGUGUGGUUCUAUUUUGUUGGUUUCUAGGACCGCCGUAAUGAUUAAUAGGGACAGUCGGGGGCAUCAGUAUUCAAUUGUCAGAGGUGAAAUUCUUGGAUUUAUUGAAGACUAACUACUGCGAAAGCAUUUGCCAAGGAUGUUUUCAUUAAUCAGGAACGAAAGUUAGGGGAUCGAAGACGAUCAGAUACCGUCGUAGUCUUAACCAUAAACUAUGCCGACUAGGGAUCGGACGAUGUUAUUUUUUGACUCGUUCGGCACCUUACGAGAAAUCAAAGUGCU
rnacentral:rRNA from 1 species